rnacentral:rRNA from 1 species
AAAAGGAUGUGGGGUUGCACAGACAACUAGGAUGUUAGCUUAGAAGCAGCUAUUCAUUCAAAGAGUGCGUAAUAGCUCACUAGUCGAGUGACCCUGCGCCGAAAAUGUACCGGGGCUAAAACAUAUUACCGAAGCUGUGGAUGACACAAAAGUGUCAUGGUAGGAGAGCGUUCUAUGUGUGAAGAAGGUGUACCGUGAGGAGCGCUGGAACGCAUAGAAGUGAGAAUGCCGGUAUGAGUAGCGCAAGACAGGUGAGAAUCCUGUCCACCGUAAGACUAAGGUUUCCAGGGGAAGGCUCGUCCGCCCUGGGUUAGUCGGGACCUAAGGAGAGACCGAAAGGUGUAU